AGCAGCCGCGGUAAUUCCAGCUCCAAUAGCGUAUAUUAAAGUUGUUGAAGUUAAAAAGCUCGUAGUUGAAUUUCGGGAUCAGUUGAUCGGUCGUGCCUCGGUACGUACUGGUCAAAUUGAUUCCUACCUUCUGACGAACCACGAUGUCAUUAAUUUGGUGUCGUGGGAAAUCAGGACUGUUACUUUGAAAAAUUAGAGUGUUUAAAGCAGGCUCGCGCUUGAAUACAUUAGCAUGGAAUAAUGAAAUAGGACGUUUGAUUCUAUUUUGUUGGUUUCUAGGAUCGACGUAAUGAUUAAUAGGGAUAGUUGGGGGCAUUAGUAUUCAAUUGUCAGAGGUGAAAUUCUUGGAUUUAUUGAAGACUAACUACUGCGAAAGCAUUUGCCAAGGAUGUUUUCAUUAAUCAAGAACGAAAGUUAGGGGAUCGAAGACGAUCAGAUACCGUCGUAGUCUUAACCAUAAACUAUGCCGACUAGGGAUCGGAUGAUGUUAAUUUUUAAUGUACUCAUUCGGCGCCUUACG
rnacentral:misc_RNA from 1 species